rnacentral:sRNA from 1 species
AGCAGAGACUUGGGCGGUCCCCAAGUUUUCAAGGUAGAAGCAGCUUAUACUCCAGGCCCCUGGCAUUAGACAGAGCUCCUUGAGGGCAGGACAGGGCAAGGCCUGCUUACCUGGGCCCACCAGUGCCUGGCCCAGAGGAGAGGAACAGAGCUGGGCUUCAGGCCUGCAGCCAGGCUGGGGCAGAGCGAUUGGCCUGGAGCUCUUCCUUUCUGUCCACAUGGCCAUCUGGGGGAGGGGACCCAGAGCCCAUCCUUCUGUCCAGGGUGCAGAACAUGGGUAGGCUGGCAGGUGAGAGGCUCUCUGCCAACCACAGCCCCAGCUCCCGAGUUGGAGGAGCUCACCUGUCCCGCAUCAGCACCUGCUCCCCCUGCCAUCCCUGCGGGGCUUCUCUCUCCCCAGCUUUGGCCUGGCCCCCGCCGCCCCCCUCCAGGUCCACGCGCCACUCAGCCCCAACCAGACAGUGGAGAUCUCCCUGCCUCUCAGCACGGUGGGCUCGGUCAUGAAGAUGGAGCCUCUGAACAACCUCCAGGUGGCCGUGAAGAACAACAUCGAUGUCUUCUACUUCAGCACCUUGUACCCACUGCACAUACUCUUUGUGGAGGAUGGGAAGAUGGACCGGCAGAUGUUCCUGGCCACAUGGAAGGAUAUUCCCAAUGAGAAUGAGGCCCAGUUCCAGAUCAGAGACUGCCCCCUCAAUGCAGAGGCUGCGAGCAGCAAGCUGCAGAGCAGCAACAUCUUCACUGUCGCCAAGAGGAACGUGGAGGGCCAGGACAUGCUCUACCAGUCCCUGAAGCUGACCAACGGCAUCUGGGUGCUGGCGGAGCUGCGGAUCCAGCCGGGCAACCCCAGCUGCACGGUGAGAGCCUUGGCACCCGCCCUGCAGCCUUGGAGCCUCCCCUUCGUCCCGUGCCAGGGGGUGGCCCUGGUGGAGGACGCGGUCCAAGCAUCCCUUCAAGCCUGGCUUGAACUAGAAUCAGUUCGGUCCCUGAGAAGGACCUUUCUAGAAAGCUUCCAAAUCAACCCCAUCAGGUUACCCAGAUAAGACACCAAUUGGGUCUCAGAACAGUGACUUGGACUAGAAGAUUGUGUAAAAUUGGGCCCUGUGAGGUGGUGCGGUUGGUUUGGCACCCCUGACUGGGAAGUGGCAUUGCUGGGCACAGGCCCUGGCCCUGUCCUGUGAGUGCCUGCAUGUCUAGCUGGGAGGACAUUGGUUCCCAGGAGCCUGAACUUCCCAGCCUUUGAGGUAGACCUGUCAGAGAAUGGCUUCCCUGGGGCACACAGUUGUCCUGGAGGCCUGUACCGCUGUUCCAGGGCCCUGGACAGCCCCAAGCUCUGCUUCUCCCCCGCACCCCUGAGUCUCUGGCAGGCAUGGCCCUCCAGACACUGCCCCUCCUGGGCCCUUCUGGCAGCGCUGGUUGGUGGGGGGCUGUGACGUGGCUUCGGUGGUGGUAACUUCCGUCUCCCUGUGUUUGGUUGCUGCAUGUCACCUUCCCUGCUGGUGCCCGUGGUGCAGGACUUAGAGGUUAGCAGAUCGCUUUCUCUUUCCCCGUCCGCCCUCCCCAGCCUUGUCUCCUGUCAUGGCCCACAUGCACCCCCAGUCUCCUGUCUGCACCUCAUCUCUUGGCCUCACCUCACCCAGGGGGCUUCAGCCAGGUGGCCCUGAUUGAGGUGCUGACACCCCACUUCCACACAUUCACAGUGUGCACAGAGCCCUUCCUAGGAGACCUGGAGGGCCCGUGGGCUGCUGCUGACCUACGGAACUCCAUUCUUCCCACUUCCUAACUGCACCCUGCAGAACCAGUGCUUUAGAGUGGAUGGUUGAGGGCUCCUCUCUCCUCUGCCUGUGAUCUCAAGCUCAGGCCCCAGAGCGGAGGCAAAGUCUCUACCGUGCCUGCUUCCUACGCAGGAAACCACGAAUGAGCCCAGCACCCCUCCAGGCUCCCUUCCAGCCCUCCGCACCCCCUCGGGAUUUUCUGUCAGGCUUCAGUCCUGAGGACCCCAGACCUUCAGGGACUCUGGGGGGCCGGGCAGCCCUCAGGGUGGGGGCCGGGCACUCCCUGGCAGCCUCCGGCUCGUGACUCACACUGCUUGCCAGCAGGGCUCUGGUGACUGGGCUGACAGCAGGUGUGUGGGCUGCAAGUAUAUUUGGUCCACACCCGGCUGGCUGCGACAACCGCCCCCUCCGCUUUGCCUCACAUCUGUGGUAGGCGCAGCUGCCGCCAGGCUGUGUGCACUCCACGCUGUCCCGUUGGUUCCUGCUCUCUUCCCCACCCCCUUCCUUCCUGAGAGGAACCCCAGGGAUGAGCGCUCUUUCCCCCGACCCCUCUCUCCCCUGCAGCUGUCCCUGAAGUGUCGAGCGCCAGAGGUGUCCCAGCACGUGUACCAGGCCUAUGAGACCAUCCUCAAGAACUGAGGCCCCGGCCAGCGCCCGCCCCAGCCUUCUGCCCGCCCCAUCGAGGAGGCCCCUCGGGGGGCAGCACAUCUUCCUCCUCGCAGGAGGGACCAGGCGGGGCUCCAGGCCACUCAGUGGGCUCCCUGGUCCUGAUGGCAGAACCCACCCGAUCCCUGGGGUAGGGCACCACCCCCUCCUGGGGUGAGAGCGCAGUGCACUCCCGUGCUCCGGGACACCCCUGCUCCUGUGGCUGUGAUGUGGGGUUAGGUGAGGAGGGGACCAAAGGAAACAGAGCCAGAGCAGCCACAGAAGCUGUGCCUGAAGGGUGAGUGUGGAGCUUGCCCCUCCGGCUCACAGCCCCAGCAGCCCCUGGCUCCUUGGUCUCUCCGGUUGGUGUUAAAGGGCCCUCCACUGCCACCUCUCAUGGGAUGGACCCUGCCAACCUGGCCUGGGUGUGCAGGGAGGGGGUCCCCUUGGUACCAGGAGAGCUGCUCACUUAGGGCCUGGGGCUCAUGGAGCUGUAGGUGCCGGCAGAGGGGCAGAGCUAGGCUGGGAGGAGCCCAGGGCCUGCACCACCCACUUGCAGCCACCAGGCUGGUGCCCUGCAGCUGUGCCAGUUGGGCCACAGCCUCCCGAGUGCUGACCCACGUGGUCAAGACCAGGCAGAAGCUCCCAGAGUCCCUGUCUCGGGCUCCCCCCCGACUGGCAGCUGCACUAUCCCCAACUCCCCACUUCUGCCCCAAGGGUGGUCACUGCCUGUGAUACAUUCCUCAGUGUCGCCUCUGAGCCCAGGCCUCCUGCAACAGAGACCGGGCCGAGAGAUGGGGCUGGGUGAGCGGGUGCGCCUCCUGUUUGGGUUUCUUCGGGGUUUCUCUGUAGUGUCUGCUGCCCUCCUCCUGGCCUCCCAGGUUUCAGUUGUGUCUGACAGAGCAUUAGGUUUUCCUGUUACUGCUGUUUAAUAAUAAAGAAAGAUUCGGCUUUUGGCAAUCACGGACACUUUUUUCCCCUCCACCGAAUGUCAGGAUUGAAAGCUGCCUCUGAGUGGUUGGGGAUGGUUUUCUGACCCUACGGUAACUAGAUCUAAUAUAUAUCAUCAGAAAAUAUAUAUUGUAUGUUUACUCUUAUUUUCAGAAAGAGAAAAUGAAUAAAAAUGAUGACAUCAA